rnacentral:rRNA from 3 species
UGCAGAAUCCCGUGAACCAUCGAGUCUUUGAACGCAAGUUGCGCCCGAAGCCACUAGGCCGAGGGCACGUCUGCCUGGGCGUCA